UGAGGAAUAUUGGUCAAAUGGCCGGAAGGCUGAACCAGCCAAGCCGCGUGAAGGACGAAGGUGCCAAGCAUUGUAAACUUCUUUUGUCAAGGGACAAAAUCAGGCUCGAGAGCCUGACCGAGGGUACUUGAAGAAAAAGCAUCGGCUAACUCCGUGCC
rnacentral:rRNA from 1 species